rnacentral:rRNA from 1 species
UACAGAGGUCUCAAGCGUUGUUCGGAUUCAUUGGGCGUAGGAGGGUGCGUAGGUGGCGCCAUAAGAUCGGGUGGUGAAAUCUCGGGGCUUAACUCCGAAACUGCAUUCGAUACUGUGGUGCUUGAGGACUGGAGAGGAGACUGGAAUUCCUGGUGUAGCGGUGGAAUGCGCAGAUAUCAGGAGGAACACCGGUGGGCGAAGGCGGGUCUCUGGGCAGUAACUGACGCUGGAGGAGCGAAAGCCGUGGGGAGCGAACAGG